UGGUUACCUUGUUACGACUUCACCCCAAUCAUCUGUCCCACCUUCGGCGGCUGGCUCCCGUAAUGGUUACCCCACCGACUUCGGGUGUUACAAACUCUCGUGGUGUGACGGGCGGUGUGUACAAGGCCCGGGAACGUAUUCACCGUGGCAUGCUGAUCCACGAUUACUAGCGAUUCCGGCUUCAUGUAGGCGAGUUGCAGCCUACAAUCCGAACUGAGAACGGUUUUAUGGGAUUUGCUCACCCUCGCGGGGUUGCGACCCUCUGUACCGUCCAUUGUAGCACGUGUGUAGCCCAGGUCAUAAGGGGCAUGAUGAUUUGACGUCAUCCCCACCUUCCUCCGGUUUAUCACCGGCAGUCACCUUAGAGUGCCCAACUGAAUGCUGGCAACUAAGAUCAAGGGUUGCGCUCGUUGCGGGACUUAACCCAACAUCUCACGACACGAGCUGACGACAACCAUGCACCACCUGUCACCGCUGUCCCCGAAGGGAAAAGCCUAUCUCUAGGCCGGUCAGCGGGAUGUCAAGACCUGGUAAGGUUCUUCGCGUUGCUUCGAAUUAAACCACAUGCUCCACCGCUUGUGCGGGCCCCCGUCAAUUCCUUUGAGUUUCAGCCUUGCGGCCGUACUCCCCAGGCGGAGUGCUUAAUGCGUUAGCUGCAGCACUAAAGGGCGGAAACCCUCUAACACUUAGCACUCAUCGUUUACGGCGUGGACUACCAGGGUAUCUAAUCCUGGUUGCUCCCCACGCUUUCGCGCCUCAGCGUCAGUUACAGACCAGAAAGCCGCCUUCGCCACUGGUGUUCCUCCACAUCUCUACGCAUUUCACCGCUACACGUGGAAUUCCGCUUUCCUCUUCUGUACU
rnacentral:rRNA from 1 species